AUGGUUGCCACAAAGACGGGCGAGCUGAGGGCCCUCUUCUUGUCACUGGACCGGGACGCGGACGGCAGGAUCUCGGCGGCGGAGUUGCGGGGGUGCAUGCGGGCGACGCUGGGCGAGGAUGUGCCCGCAGAGGAGGCCGAGGCGCUGGUGGCGUCGGCGGACGCGGACGGCGACGGGCUCUUGUGCGCGGCCUGGGCGGGCGACGCGGGGGAGGAGGACGACGAGCAGAGGAUCCGGGCGCUGAGGGAGGCGUUCGGGAUGUACGAGAUGGAGGGGCAGGGGUGUAUCACGCCGGCCAGCCUGGGGAGGAUGCUCGGCAGGCUCGGGGCCGAGCGGGGCGCCGGAGAGUGCCGCGCCAUGAUCUGCCGGUUCGACCUCGAUGGCGACGGCGUGCUCAGCUUCGACGAGUUCAAGAUCAUGAUGAGCUAG
rnacentral:rRNA from 1 species